rnacentral:rRNA from 1 species
UGAGGAAUAUUGGGCAAUGCCCGAAAGGGUGACCCAGCAACGCCGCGUGGAGGAUGAAGGUCGUAAGAUUGUAAACUCCUGUUAGAGGGGAAGAAUAACUAAGAUUGGAGCAUAGUAUGACUGUACCCUCAGAGAAAGCCCCGGCUAACUACGUGCCAGCAGCCGCGGUAAUACGUAGGGGGCAAGCGUUGUCCGGAUUUACAGGGUGUAAAGGGAGCGCAGGCGGGAUAAAAAGUCAGUGGUGAAAUCCUACAGCUUAACUGUAGAACUGCCUUGGAUACUUUUAUUCUUGAGUUCGGGAGAGAGAGGUGGAAUUCCAGGUGUAGUGGUGAAAUACGUAGAUAUCUGGAAGAACACCAGUGGCGAAGGCGGUCUCUUGGUCCGACACUGACGCUGAGGUGCGAAAGCGUGGGGAGCAAACA